CACGAAAAAAGAAAGAGAUCGCUUCACUCUCCUUCGCCCCCAUUCACCAGUGAAUCAGCACUUCAAGAUUCUGCGGUAGUCUCCUUUCCCUUACACUCUACUGAGGCUGUUAGGUUUGUUCAUCAUGAGGAAAGGAUGAUUUGGCCAGCAAUAUGUGCAUUAAUUCUUGAUGCCUACAGUGAUGUAGUUGUGUUACGUUUACUUGCUGAUGAGUAUGCUUCCGUUUAGUAUAGUAUUAAAUAUUGUACUAAAUCAUCUUUGGUUCUACAAUUAGCAAUGGCAAAGUCCAUGAAUUUAUUAUGAGUCCUCUGGUUUUCUGGUACUUGUCUGACAUGGUUCAAAUAUUAAGAGAUCUAUGCUAUCGAUUAGAUUCCUCUCUCUGUGCCAGAGGGUACGUUUACUUGAAUCCAGUAGCUAAUCUUGUCAGAAUAUCAGUAGACAAGGAAAGGAAAUUGAAAAAUAAAUUUUGUUGGGAACUUAUGCAUGCCGGUUGCAACUGCAGAACUGCUAUUCAUGGUUUUAUUGUUAAAAGAAUUCUUUUCCCUAGAAGUAGUUGUCACUUAAAUGAAAUACUUUUUGUCCCGGCGUGGGAUCUAUAUAUCCAAAAUCACUUGACUGUUGGUUUUAUCCACUAUCUUGAAUCUUAGACAAAUAUCUCAGUGAAGGGAAUGUAUCUGAUGGUUAUUGAAGAUGUUAGAACUCUUUCUUGACGCUCAGUUGAUGUGUAAAUCAAGAUGGCCAUAUGUUGUGCUCAAGUCCAAAGGGGCUUAAGUUUUUAUAGGAUCUGCUUUUGUUUGUGUUUGGCUGAUUACAGGUGCAGUUCUAGUAUUAGUUGCUUUACUGCCGCUGUGAAAUUUGUUUUGAAAGGAUGGUAUUACCCAUAUUUUCUCAUUGUUUUUAGUCUACUUGGUUUCAAUAUGAGAACAAGGCAUUUCGUCUAUGGUGGGAAAGCUUUUAUGUGCAGGUGCUGUCCGUCAAAGUGUUUAAGCAAUCUGUCAAAAAUUCAAAAUUGGAGCAUCCCUUUGCAAAUUCUACGAGUUGUAUAAUGGGAUAUUGAAGAAAAAAGAAUAUACUGAUGUGUUUUCCUUAUUCUUACAUGAUCUAAUAUUUAAAUCUGUUUUUCAUUUAUCUAUGAUGUUCUGAAUA